UCAGGAUGAACGCUGGCGGCGUGCUUAACACAUGCAAGUCGAACGGUGAAGGGGAGCUUGCUCUCUGGAUCAGUGGCGAACGGGUGAGUAACACGUGAGCAAUCUGCCCCUGACUCUGGGAUAACAGUUGGAAACAGCUGCUAAUACUGGAUACGAGUCGUGAAGGCAUCUUCAACGUCUGGAAAGAAUUUCGGUCAGGGAUGAGCUCGCGGCCUAUCAGCUUGUUGGUGAGGUAACGGCUCACCAAGGCGUCGACGGGUAGCCGGCCUGAGAGGGUGACCGGCCACNCUGGGACUGAGACACGGCCCAGACUCCUACGGGAGGCAGCAGUGGGGAAUAUUGCACAAUGGGCGAAAGCCUGAUGCAGCAACGCCGCGUGAGGGANGACGGCCUUCGGGUUGUAAACCUCUUUUAGCAGGGAAGAAGCGAAAGUGACGGUACCUGCAG
rnacentral:rRNA from 1 species